GUAAAGAUUUUACAUUGUUACAAAAGAUUUCUAUUUCAAAUAAAUGCUUUUCUUUCGAACUUUCUAUUCAUCAAGGAAUAAAGAAAGAACCUUUCCAGAAUAUUAUUAGGCAGCACAACCAUUUUCAACAUUGAUAAUAAUAAAUGUUUCUUGAGCACCAAAUCAACAUAUUAGAAUGAUUUCUGAAGGAUCAUGUGACACUGACAAGACUGGAGUAAUGAUGCUGAAAAUUUAGCUUUGCACCACAUAAAUAAAUUACAUUUUAUUACAUUUAUUUUUGAUCAAAUAAAUGUAGCCUUGGUGAGUAUAAGUUGAACAGUAGUGUAUUUUAAAGGCAUACAUUUCCGGGGGGAAUUUACAAGAGUCAUAGAGGCCUUAAAUGAACUUGUUUGGCUACUGAGAUAUUUUUGGAAUGUUAUUCUCAGUUUACAGGAACAACAAGGUCUAUGUACAUAUGCAAAUUAUAGAUUUACAUAAAAAUAAUACAGAGCACCUUGUAUUUGAAACAUCACAUUGCACAAAAAAACUAUGCUAUUUAUGUAUUAAAUCCAUAUGAGGUUUAAUAGAUCAUCAUAGGAUCCAUUUAAAGGUAUUGGGUGGUAAAAUCUGUUAUGUAAAAAUGUUAUUUAAAUUGUACCUUAACUUAAACUUUACCUUAACGUAAUCAAGCAAUUUAAAAAGAAUCAGAAAAAAAGCUUAGGCCUACUGCUCUAGGCAAAUAAGCUUUCAGCCCUCCCUCCCUAUGUUGUCGACUACUGUAUAUAUAGUUAAGUGUAAUCUCAUAGUGUCUGCUGCCACACUUUUUUUCCUUAACCUCUUUCUCGUGAUGUGGCUGAUAUUGGGACUUUUCCACACCUCUUCACUCAUCCACUCAGGUAAUGCAAAAUAAGACAGCCUAUGACUCAAGACAAUUAAGAAUGCAAUCAUGGGAAUGUUUAAGUCAUUAAUUUUGUAUGUCCUAUGGUGUAUGUGAAGUCUUAAUAUGUUCCUUCAAAAUAUCAUUUUAUGUAUAUAAUUUAAAUUCUCUUAAGGAACAGUUGAAAUGCUGCAGUGUCUGAAUUUUAAGAGUCCAACCUGUGUGAGCCAGUUCACUUCUGGCACUGGCGAAGUUUGCGCUGUUCUAAGGACUGAUGAAAAUUUUUCAGGUCAGCUAUAGAUUGUUACCGUUUCUUGGUUUAUCUGAAAAGAAUUUAGUUGAAAAACUUGAAAACAAUCGCAAUAUAAAAUAUUGUAUAUAUAAUAUUAAAUACAAUAUAAUAUAUUGUAUCUAUAUUUUAUCAUUUCAAAGACAAUAAACUGGCCAUCAUGUUUUUUUGUGUUUCUUCUUUUUUUUUUAUUUUUUUUUUUAUGUGAAGCAAAUGUCAGAGAUUCAUGUGUCAUAAGGACCUCUCUGCCCAAAGCAUACUGUUUGGAGCAGAAAGCAAACAGUUCACCAGCCACUGCAUCAAUUGGUUUAGGUUUUGUAAAUGUAGCUCUCAGUGUUUCCUGCUGCUCCACUGAUCACUGUAACAGUGUCAAUCUGUCUGAACCCAACCAUGCCCCAAAUGGAUUAAAAUGUGUCUCAUGCAACAACUUGACAGAUAAACAUUGUACUACAACAGUGUCCUGUGUGGGAGUCCAGGACCGCUGCCUUGAUGAUACAGUUUCAUCAGGUACUAUACUAGGAAACAUCAUACGGAUACUUUUUCCUUCCCUUCAACGUGCUACACUCAAGGGUUGUGUCUCAAGAAAUCUUUGUGGACCUUCAUCUAUCACCAAGUUCAGCUGCAUUAGCAAUUCAGUGUACCCAGCCAUCAAAAAUAAAGACUUUAGUGUUUUUCUGAUGGGCUUUAUUACUGCUAAUUUCCUGUAAUUUCAAUGUAAUUGUUGUUCAGGUAUUCUGGAAUGUUUUGAAAAUACCUAUAGUUUAUAAUCCAUACCUGCAUCUUAUUAUACAUAGAUAUGUGUAUUGAUUCUGUAUAAGAAUGAGUGCAUUAUCCAAUUUUUUUUUCUUCUUCUUUUUUUUUUUUUUUUUUUUUUUUUUUUUUACAUGUGAAGGUGAGGGUAUUUAAUUAUAUUUUGUAUAGCUUGAUGUUAGGGUUGAAAUGUUUUAUCUGCAAUUUUGUAAACAUUAAUGAUCAACAAUUGUAAAAACGUUACAUGUCUUAAAACGAGUAUCAUAUAGGCUAAAAGUAACAGUUACAUUACACUGUACAAAAAUUACAGUUUGUUGUUUUAUCUGGAGUUCAGUGUAACAGUGGACCCUUUUCACAUUUCUAGGGUUCUAAUAAGCGGAAGUUGUCACAGUUGGGUAUAAACAGAAACUAGUACAGCAAAAGUGUUCCGUUCCACGUAUGUUUUUUUUUGUUUUUUUUUUCUCUCUCUUUUGUUAUCUUGCUUUCGAGUUAUUCUUAGGUUGAUCUUAUUGGACCGGAGAACUGUCAAUCAUCUUGGUGAUGUCAUGAUGUUUUGACGUCAUGACCAGCAUUCCGCCAAUCUGCAGGGUUGCUGAUGGUUUAAAAGGCUGUGGCGGUGUUACACCUGCAGUGAGCGUUUUGGUUUCGGACCUCACUCACUUUCCGUGCCUUUGUCAUGCUAGAAGCCAGCCAGCCAGCCAGCCAGCCAGCCAGCCAGCGUGUGUUUGAACUCUUCGUUUAGUCCGUGGUUUAUUGAGACGGCAUUCCUGUGAGUUUGUUUGUGAUUAGACGCACCCGUGUAUUAGUUAACCUGUUGGAGAAAGAGCGUGCUUCAACUUUCACAUGUUCAAUGUAUGUGUGGAAUACGUGUAGAUACUGGUGUGAAUUUCUUUGUUAUUGCCCACCUCGCAGAACGCUGUGUUAACCCCUCGAUUUGCCCUUUUAAGCCCUUUGUUAUGUACAAACCUACCUAGCGUUAAUUUCAAUUCCAUUGAUAACUAACCCGUUACUUCCGACAUACAUGACGUUGGCCCAAAACCGGUAGCUAGUACUUGUAAUGUUAGUUAGUGUAUGGGUGUUCGCCUCUAUUGUAUUUUUAUUUAUGCAGUAUAGUUCAGUUAAGGCGUCGCAUACGCCGAAGCUUGCAGGUUUCAUUUCUGCAUUUUUCUUUUGGUAGGCAGUUUAGGGGUUUGGUGUUAGUUAAUGGGUUUUUGUUUUGAUUAUUUCUUUAGUUUGGCGUUAGUUUGGCGAUACCCUCGUUUCUUCUUUUUAACUUUAUUGACUCUUUAUGUUUCUCUUGUAUUGUUCCUUUUCCCCUGUGUUAAUUAACAUUGGGUUUUUGCUGCAACCUUGUUGUCUGGUCUGUUCUCCCUCACGCUGCAACAGCUGCAUCUCACUUAAAUGUUGUGUUCAUUACAUUUAAUAUCCUUAAGCACGUAACAAAAGUCAUUUUUGCAUUCCCAUUUUCCCCAGUAGCAAAGAAAAAAAAAAAACAAUUAUAAAAUUUCUGAUUUUACAAAAAAGGCGAGGAAAAAAAAAAUAUAUUGAGAUAUUGAUUACGUUGGUCAGAAGAGAAAAAGAUGUUCAAUUUGCUUUCACUUCCUCAGCUGUUCUAUAAACACUUACACAGCAGAUUUAAACAGUUUUCUACGGUGGAGAGCUCAAAGGAAAGCAGAGAAAGCUCAAUGCACUGCAACUGAAGAAAACACAUGCAAACAGAAAAAACACCAGCAAAUUAAGAAAACUUCAUUAGUGUUCUGCAAAUACUCACAAUGCAACCAAUUCUUCAGUUGCAAUACGUUGAGCUCUCUUGGCCACCGUAGUUUUCCAUAAUUUAAUGCCUAAGUAAGAAAACAACUCAAGUCACAACUGCA